GCAUUGAGUACCGGUACGAGUGUGAUGGGGUACCGGUACCUAGCAGCAGCAACUGCGUGGUAGCAAGGCUAAUUUGGUCUUUUCACUGCCAAAGCUUAUCCCUAAAAGCCCAGCACAAUCUCUGCAGCUGGUUAGAAGGUGCUGGAGCAUAGAAGAUCAGCUGAAUUGGAGAGCUUGGAGCAGCUGUGGAGGAGAGGAAAAGUAGUCUUGAGAGUGGUUUUUCGCCACCCUAACUCAGUAGGAAGCUGGAUUAAAGCUUGCCGGUUUUGGAAGGUGCUUAGUAGUAGUAUAGAAGAGGUGUUUUGCUGAGUUUCAGCUACCCUGAACCAGAGAAGAAGCUGAAGUGAAGGUUGGAAGGUUUAUUAACCACUUUGAGCUGAGUUUAGUGACUCUUGUGAGCUGAUUUCAGUGUGCUUCAACCUGAUUUGAGGUGGAGUUCAAGUUGGAAUCCUAAACUAGGGUGCCUGGAGGCUGCGGAUUACUUUCGCUAGCAGGAUCGACGAGAGUCGACGUGCUUUUGAGCUAUCCAUUACGGGAGAGGCUAGGGAUCGCGGCAAGGGAGUCGCGUCUAGCUAGACAUAGCUUGGAGCCCCGCUAGGUAUAUGGCGGGUCUGUACAUGUAUCGGAUAUGCUUCCGCUGAUUCCCAGGCGUGACAAAACCCUUGUUCAUGCUAGUUUUGAUCCGAAUCAAAUCCAAAGCAUCUCAUGCUCAUCCAAAAGCUUUUAAAUAGUAUCAAUAGUCCUUUAGAUUCCUUUCAAGUCGAGAGUCCAUCGAACCUGUCUGCUCAAGUUCGGCCAGAGCUAGGUGGCCGAUUACAUCUCUCCGACAUUUCAGUCGUCUGCUGACUUUGACUGAAAUCUUUGAUCCCUAUAGUUCCUUUCAACCAAAAGUGAACUAGAUCCAGUCCAUCCAAGUUUGGCCUGAGGUAAACAGCCGAAUAUAGCGUGCUUUCAUAGAGGUCAAGUCACAACCAAGAACCCAAGCCGAAAGCUUCCAUUUUCUUCCAUUGUAUUCAUUUUCUUUGAAUCAAUAAUAACAUUUUUUUCGGCUUC